AACGAACGCUGGCGGCAUGCCUAACACAUGCAAGUCGAACGAGGCCUUCGGGUCUAGUGGCGCACGGGUGCGUAACGCGUGGGAACCUGCCCUUAGGUUCGGAAUAACUCCCCGAAAGGGGUGCUAAUACCGGAUAAUGUCUUCGGACCAAAGAUUUAUCGCCUUUGGAUGGGCCCGCGUUGGACUAGCUAGUUGGUAGGGUAAAAGCCUACCAAGGCGACGAUCCAUAGCUGGUCUGAGAGGAUGAUCAGCCACACUGGGACUGAGACACGGCCCAGACUCCUACGGGAGGCAGCAGUGGGGAAUAUUGGACAAUGGGCGAAAGCCUGAUCCAGCAAUGCCGCGUGAGUGAUGAAGGCCUUAGGGUUGUAAAGCUCUUUUACCCGGGAUGAUAAUGACAGUACCGGGAGAAUAAGCUCCGGCUAACUCCGUG
rnacentral:rRNA from 1 species